GCGCAAGUCAGUUUGAGGUUACGUUAAUCAAAACAAACUUCUAACUACUAAAACGGAUUCAGUGUGAGUUUUGGAGUAGCACUUAAAAGGUCACGCUUGCCGAGCAUGUUGGUGAAUACUUUUUGGAACAUGGAGAAGUGCCGCUAACAUGGAGAAGUGACGCUCUUUGCGGCCGCAUGGGAGUCUUCUUAGCUUCGCCUUAAUCGCUUCAAGAACUUACCGGCGUACUUGUAGCUAUCAGAGACAAGCAAUAAUUCCUUGUCGCUGGUAGCUACGCUGCCGCCGGCAUCGCUCCCCGGAUUUAAGGCUACUAGGCCCUCUCACUAACGACAAAGUGAUGACUCCCCCAGAGAGGGAAAAAGUUGAUCCUUCAACAUAAACGGAUCAAAGCUGCAAGGAAAAGUGGUUAUUAGAAAAUAAAAGCAGUUUAAAGAG